GCAGCCCCAGGAUCAUCGAUGCCUCUUGUAUGCAGUGAAUUUUAUGCGUAUCUUCGCCUUUUGUUACCAUCAGGGUGUGAGCCGGGCCCCAGCGGUAUGUGACAUGUUUCUCACGCAGAAGUGAUGUCAAUUGUUGCAGGGAUCUCCUCCAGGCUAAAGUGGCUCCCGAGAGGUCCGCAUAAAACAUUAGGUUCAUGCCUUCGAAGGGGUAGGUCUGUUGGAGCCUGG